rnacentral:tRNA from 1 species
GGGGUUGUAGUUCAGUGGUAGAGCACUUGCCUAGCAUACAUGAGGCACUGGGUUCAAUCCUCAGCACCA